rnacentral:rRNA from 1 species
CCUACGGGAGGCAGCAGUGAGGAAUAUUGGUCAAUGGACGAGAGUCUGAACCAGCCAAGUAGCGUGAAGGAUGACUGCCCUAUGGGUUGUAAACUUCUUUUAUAUGGGAAUAAAAUGUUCCACGUGUGGGAUUUUGUAUGUACCAUAUGAAUAAGGAUCGGCUAACUCCGUGCCAGCAGCCGCGGUAAUACGGAGGAUCCGCGCGUUAUCCGGAUUUAUUGGGUUUAAAGGGAGCGUAGGUGGAUUGUUAAGUCAGUUGUGAAAGUGUGCGGUUCAACCGUAAAAUUGCAGUUGAAACUGGCAGUCUUGAGUACAGUAGAGGUGGGCUGAAUUCGUGGUGUAGCGGUGAAAUGCUUAGAUAUCACGAAGAACUCCGAUUGCGAAGGCAGUUCACUGGACUGCAACUGACACUGAGGCUCGAAAGUGUGGGUAUCAAACAGGUUUAGAUACCCGUGUAGUC